rnacentral:miRNA from 1 species
GUCAGCUGACACAUCCCGGGAAAUAUGCAGCAGACCCUCCCUCCCAGACCCUCCCACCUCCUGGACAGCAUCCAUAUUGAAGGCAGCUUCAAUAUGGAUGCUGUCCAGGAGGUGGCAGGGUCUGGGAGGGAGGGUCUGCUGCAUAUUGGCCGGGAUGUGUCAGCUUCA